ACGGGGGUUUUUCUGUUCGCAGUUGACGAGGCUCGAAACGGUGAAGAAAACACAACUCCUGUUGACGAGGCUCAUCUACUAACAAAUGGCGAAGAGCAUACAGCUCAAGGUCAGCUUGUUACGCCAUCAGGUGUCCAAUCGUCAUACGCACCUGAUAAAACAUCAGCUCCAGAUAACGUCAUAACGGAGGCAUCAGGAUCUUUGAGUGCCAGUAACAGUGGGUCAGAGCAAUGUGACCGAGGCCUAGCAGAGCCCCGGAGUCUUGAGCACAAGUCUGAUGAAUGCAAAGUAUCCACCUUGAGAUGUGGGGAAAAGCGUCCGAGGGAAUCAGAAGACUCCUCUGAUGUUCCUGUGAAACGCCGUUUGAGAACAUCGGAAGAAGAUAGCAGGAAAGAAUCUGUCCCAGACUAUGACGCGAGAUGUGCCGAGCUGUGGAUCGAUGGUGAAACGGCUGCUUGUGAGGCUUAUGAGUCCUCAAAGUCCACCCAACGCCAGCGUGCUGUUCGACAACACGCCAAUGGUAGCGACUUUUUACGUCUCAUUCAAACUAAAUUGGCAGCUUGUUUUCUACCAAUUGCAAAGAUGGUUCGUUUGAGUAUGGAGCAGAGCAGAGCUGACUUCACUGGGGUUAUGAGUACACUUAAUGCAAUGCAAAGGGAUGCAAGAGUGUUGACUAAUGAAGUACGUAAUAUGCGAGCGGAAGGAAGACAGAUUUUAGACACAAUCUCUCUUAUGAAUGAUAAAUUGAGCGUCAUUCAAAGGAUUGCAUUGGACUUGCAAGAAGUGUUGACUACUAGAAGAUGA
ensembl:lncRNA